UACGUAGGGAGCAAGCGUUGUCCGGAAUCAUUGGGCGUAAAGCGCGCGUAGGCGGCCUCAUAAGUCCGUUGUGAAAGUCAAAGGCUCAACCUUUGAAAGCCGAUGGAUACUGUGAGGCUAGAGUCCGGAAGAGGCGAGUGGAAUUCCUGGUGUAGCGGUGGAAUGCGCAGAUAUCAGGAGGAACACCAAUAGCGAAGGCAGCUCGCUGGGACAGUACUGACGCUAAGGCGCGAAAGCGUGGGGAGCGAACAGG
rnacentral:rRNA from 1 species